rnacentral:lncRNA from 1 species
UCUAGAACAAGGUGACUUUAUCAAUGUAUUCGCCUGUAUUUACCCCCCCCCCCCAUAAUGACAUUUUAAUUAGUAGCUAUUGUGACUACCAUAAAGAACUACAAAUGCCAUGAUCAUCUGGACGAGACUGCCGAAUCGAGGCAAAGGUAAGAAUCUCUGGAUUAACUUUCUAAUGUUAGCUAAAUUUAGUAAGGAAUAAUUUGGCAACAUUUAUUUUAAUUGACAAUUCUGUGAACUGCCUUGUGCAAGUUUUAAAUGGACACAAUACCUGUUAGCAAAGGUGUCAGCUAGAGAUGACGUGCAGGAUCUUGCAGGGAUUUGUAGUCUUGAAUGAUGUCUACUCUGAUGCAAAUUAGCUUUUUCGAAUCUUAGCGUAAAUAGAGCUGAAUAUAUUGAUAAAAGUCACCUUGUCCGAGAGGUUUACAUGGAUAUCAAAGUGUCACGCCAGUGUAAACCUAUACGAAAGACAGCCCUUAGUUUAAAAGUUUCUAAAAUCCCCUAUGGGAAAAAUGAAUGGUGUAAAAAACAAUUGGAACCAAUUUGACCGCUAGGUUUUAUGGGUAUUAUAACACCUCCACUGUGGGGCUCUAUAGUAGUGAGGCAACAAUGGAUAUUGACAAUGAGUUCAUACAUUAUGUAAAGUCUAAUGGAAAAACUGGAAUGUGGACAUUGAGGAAAAGAAAGCUCCUACUGUCACAGGCGUCGAAAUGAGUAGACCAAGGUGUAUAGUGCUCAUUUUUAAACUUUUAAUGAAGACACUUGAACCAAAACAAUAAAACGACCGACAACAGUUCCAUAAGGUACACACUGACAAAACGGAAAACAACUACCCACAAAAAACAAAGGAAAAACAGGCUGCCUAAGUAUGGCUUCCAAUCAGAGACAACGAUAGACACCUGCCUCUGAUUGGAAACCAUACCCGGCCAAAACAUAGAACACAAAACAUAGAAUGCCCACCCACUUAUCACACCCUGGCCUAGCUAAACAGAGAAAACACAGCUCUCCUAGGUCAGAGCGUGACAGUACCCACCCCCCCAAAGGUGCGAACUCCCGGCCGUAAACCUGAACCUAUUGGGGAGGGUCCGGGUGAGCAUCUAUAAUUGGCGGCGGCUCUGGUUUGGGGCGUAGCCCCCACACCGCCCGCUGAUCCCCCCGCUUCUGUGUCGCCGGAGGAACCAGACCGUGGAUCAGCGCCAGAGGCUCUGAACUGCCGACCGCCGCUGAAGACUCUGGGCUGCAGGCCGCCGCUGAAGACUCGGGGCUGCAGACCGUCGCUGAAGACUCAGUGCUGCAGACCGUCGCUGAGGACUCCGGGCUGCAGACCGUCGCUGAGGACUCCGGGCUGCAGACCGUCGCUGAAGACUCCGGGCUGCAGACCACCGCUGGAGGCUCCGGACUGGGGAGCGUCGCUGGAGGCUCCGGACUGGGGAGCGUCGCUGGAGGCUCCGGGCUGAGGAGCGUCGCUGGGGGCUCCGGGCUGAGGAGCGUCGCUGGGGGCUCCGGGCUGAGGAGCGUCGCUGGGGGCUCCGGGCUGAGGAGCGUCGCUGGGGGCUCCGGGCUGAAGAGCGUCUCUGUAGGUUCCGAACUGGGGACCUUCGCUGCAGGCUCCGUGCCAUGGAUCAUCACUACUGGUUCCGCGUCAUGCAUCAUCACUGGAGGCUUUGUGCCAUGGAUCAUCACUGGAGGCUCCGGGCCAUGUAUUAUCACUGGAGGCUUCGUGCCAUGGAUCAUCCCUACAGGCUCCGGGCCAUGGAUCAUCACUGGAGGCUUUGUGCCAUGGAUCAUCCCUACAGGCUCCGGGCCAUGGAUCAUCACUGGAGGCUUCGUGCCAUGGAUUAUCACUACAGGCUCCGGGCCAUGGAUCAUCACUGGAGGCUUCGUGCCAUGGAUUAUCACUGGAGGCUUCGGACCAUUGAUUAUAACUGGAGGCUUCCUACGGGGAGCUGGAACCGGUCUCACCAGACUGGGGGGACGCACAGGAGACUGGGUGUGCAGAGCAGGCACAGGGCGUACUGGGCUAUGGUGGCGCACUGGAGUGAGAGUGCGCGGAGCAGGCACAGGGUAUACUGGGCCUUGGAGGCAUACUGGAGGUCUGGCGCUGAGGGCUGGCACAACCCAUCCUGGCUCGAUGUUGACUAUAGCCCGGCAAGGGCGGGGAGCUGGAAUAGGCCGCACUGGGUUGAGCUGGCGAACUGGGGGUACCAUGCGUAGAGCUGGCGCAGGAUAACCUGGGCCGAGGAGAUGCACCGGAGACCAGGAACGCACCGGAGACCAGGCACUCCUUCCUGGCUGAAUGCCAACUCUAGCACGGCAAUGGUGAGGAGCUUGCACCGAGCGCACCGGGCUGUGAGUGCGCAUGGGCGACACCGUGCGCACCACCGCAUAACACAGUGCUUCUACAGUCACUUGCUCCCCACGGUAAGCACAGGGAGUUGGCUCGGGUCUUAACCUCGCCUUAGCCAAUCUACCCGUGUGGGCCCCCCAAAAUGUUUGGGGGCGCUGCCUCUCGGCCUCCUGUUGCUUGCCUAGCUGUUCCUCCCAGUAUCGUCGUUCCGCAUUUGCUGCCUCUAUCUCCCAUUGCGGACGGCGAUACUCACCAAGGCCUUGUCCAGGGUCCUGCCCCAUCUAGGAUCUCCUCCCAGGUCCACUCCUCUGAGCCAUACUGCUUGGUCCCGCUCCUCCUCCUGGAGAGUGCACGCUGCUUGGUCUUCUUGUGGUGGGUAGUUCUGUCACAGGCGUCGAAAUGAGUAGACCAAGGCGCAGCGUGUAUAGUGCUAAUUUUUAAACUUUUAAUGAAGACACUUGAACGAAAACAAUAAAACGAUCGACAACAGUUCCGUAAGGUACACACUGACAAAACGGAAAACAACUACCCACAAAAAUCAAAGGAAAAACAGGCUGCCUAAGUAUGGCUUCCAAUCAGAGACAACGAUUGACACCUGCCUCUGAUUGGAAACCAUACCCGUCCAAAACAUAGAACACAAAACAUAGAAUGCCCACCCACCUAUCACACCCUGGCCUAGCUAAACAGAGAAAACACAGCUCUCCUAGGUCAGAGCGUGACACCUGCACAACUCCAAAGUGAUGGGAAUACAGUUGAGAGAGAUGAAAUAAACCAAGAGAAGAAAAAGAAAGAGGGAGUUGAAAAGAAAAAGGUAUUUCAGGAGAACCAGCCAGCAAAAUGCAAAGGUAAAACAUGUGGACGAAAGAGAGAGACUUUAAAAAGAAAUACCACUAUAGAGGAUAAAGAGGAGAAUAACUAUAUUCUUGAAGUUCAGAAUGUGAAGUGAGCAUGAAUACCCUCAGAAUGUUUAUCUAUCUCUCCUAUCUAUCUCCCUCUGCAGACGUAUCAAUCUUUUCAGCUGGUUUUCAGGUCAAAGAGACUCAGCACACCCAGCAGUGCAAAGAUUCCUCAAUCUUUGCGUAGUCUGGGGUGAUGAGUCAGAUUGGCUCAGGAGGACCAGCCAGCAAAGUGCGAAGAUUUCUCCAUCUUCUCAGCUGGUGCUGAGGACAAACAGACCCUAGUGCAAAGGGAAUCUUUGUUUACAGUUGUUUUGUGCAAUGAAGCAUUUAACUCUAUAGUAGUCAUAGAUUGAUAUUUGGAUUGCAGUUUAUUAAAUUAAUAUGAUGGUCUGAUGGACUAUUGAUACUCAAACUGUCCUGAACUUGUCUGGAAAAGUCUAUUGUGUUUCGCUAAUUUGAAAGCAAAUUCAGUUUGAAAGCAUACUCAAUGCUGUACAUAUUUUAGUGUUGAGGGUACUAUAAUCAAACACACUCCUUUUGAUAUUAAUGCCAGUCAUUUUAUUUUUUCUUGUCAGAUUUCAGUUGCUGCAGCUGAGUCAAAGACUCUGAACCCUCAGGAGGAUGAGCCAGCAAAGCGCAACUGUGAAAAAAACAGAAUGAUUUCUCUGUUUUUGCUGCAGUUAGAGGAAAGAUUCAAGACACUUAGACAGACCAGGCAGCAAAGGUCAAAAGGACCUGGACAUUGACAUGGGCUGGUCAGAGACGAGCAGUGAAGGUGUGGCCAAGGUCCCCCCCCCCCCCAGCCCAGCAGGCCAAAGUGAGUAAUAAAAGAGAGAUUGUCCAAAAGAAAGAUGGGAAUGACAAAGUUGCGGAGUUUAAGACAGAUGCAGAGCUCAUUAUGGAAACACACAGUGCAUUCGGAAAGUAUUCAGACCCCUUGACAUUUUCCACAUUUUGUUAAGUUACAGCCCGGUCUAGUCAACCUAGAUUAGGCCUACAUUUUUAUGUUUUUAUUAGCCUACUAUUAGGCCUAUUAUAGUUCCCGCGCAUCAAACACCUCCCAUUUCCAACAAACAAACAAUAUGCCCAUUUGCUUGGAAUACAGUUGAUCGAUAUUUUAGAAGUUGUGCUCACAGUUUGAAAUUUACAUGAAGAUACUCACACCAUCCCCCAGUCAAGUUCAAAAUGGAUAAAUACCAACCAUUGUGGGAAAAUUGGCACAUGCAAAGUUUAGUCUUUUUUUGUGCCCACAGCAUCUUCGAUAAAUUAGGCCCCUUGUUUUUUCAGGGGCAGUCUGCCCAAUUUUAUGUUCAAAAGGGCCAGGGUGACACUGAGUAGGAUAUCUAUAUUUAAAGGAAUGACAAACCAAUGUGCCACCUACAUAUUGUUUAUCUUCUGUUUGCACAAAGAGACUACCUCCCACAUCACGGAUAUAGGGCCAAAUUUGAACAAAUAAACCAAUAUUGUGUGCAAUGUGCUGUAGACAAACAGUUUGUCCUCUGUAUACAUGACCUACCUUGUUGUCAUGUGUUCUGUUUAACUUCCCUUCUUACCAUGCAUAAGCAUGUCUAAACAUGUCAAUAAAGGAAGAGAAAGACGUACAAGCCAGGUUGAUACUGUAUGUGGGAAGAUCUCAUUGAAUAAAGGCUGUGUGUUUCCUUGUGUGUGUGUGAGUGUGUGCGUGCGCGUGUGCGUGCAUGUGUCCGUGUGCAUGUGUGAGCUUGUGGCACCGGAAGGCAGCUUCCUGCAGUGCAAUGUAAGAGCAGGGGGUUGAUGAGCUUAAAUCAUGCCUCUAUUCAAUCACUCAACCACUGUAGUGCGUUGACCACCAGUGCUAUGCUAAAGUUGGUGUGCUGAAUUGUUAACUCAAGUGAAUAAGUAACAUGGGAUGUUCACUUGUUCCAUUACUUACUUUGUUUUGUUUCUACUUAAAUGACCCUGAUGUAUGGGGAUAGAUCACAUUGACCUGUCCCUCUCCACAAUUGCACAGCAUUUCCAAUCAAUUUAAUAAGUAUUCGUCAUCUAACACAUUACUCUUUCUCAACAUUUAUGAUAUCUACAGUAAACAACCACAUUCAGCAUCUGCAUGAAAAACUCCAAACAAUACAACAACACCAUCAAUUCACUUUUUUUGGUCAUAUACACUUAAUUCGGAAAGUAUUCAGAUCCUUCAACUUUUUCCACAUUUUGUUGUGUUACAGCCUUAUUCUAAAAUAUAUUAAAUACCCAAUAAUGACAAAGAAAAAUCUGUUUUUCAGAAUUGUUUUAAAAUGUAUAAAAAAAAACAGGAAAUGUCAAAUUUACAUUGGUAUUCAGACCCCUUACUUAAUACUUUGUUGAAGCACCUUUGGCAGCAAUUACAACCUCGAGUCUUCUUGGGUAUGACGCUACAAGCUUUGCACACCUGUUUUGGGGAGUUUCUCCCAUUCUUCUCUGCAGAUCUUCUCCAGCUCUGUCAGGUUAGAUGGGGAUCGUCACUGCACAGCUAUUUUCAGGUCUCUCCAGAGAUGCUCGAUUAGGUUCAAGUUCGGGCUCUGGCUGGGCCACUCAAGGACAUUCAGAGACGUGUCCUGAAACCACUCCUGCGUUAUCUUGGCUGUGUUCUUAGGGUCAUUGUCCUGUUGGAAGGUGAACCUUCGCCCCAGUCUGAAGUCCUGAGCUCUCUGGAGCAGGUUUUCAUCAAGGAUCUCUCUGUACUCUCUGUGAUCCAUUCAUCUUUUUCUCGAUCCUGACUAGUCUCCCAGUCCCUGCCGCUGAAAAACUUCCCCCACAACAUGAUGCUGCCACCACCAUGCUUCACCAGACAUGACGCUUGGCAUUCAGGACAAACAGUUCAAUCCUGGUUUUAUCAGACCAUAGAAUCUUGUUUCUCAUGGUCUGAGAGUCCUUUGGGUGCUUUUUGGCAAACUCCAAGCGGGCUGUCAUGUGCCUUUUACUGAGGAGUGGCUUCAGUCUGGCCACUUUAAAAUAAAGGCCUAAAUGGUGGAGUGGUGCAGAGAUUGUUGUCCUUCUGAAAGGUUCUCCCAUUUCCACAGAGGAACUAUAGAGCUCUGUCAGAGGGACCACAAGGUUCUUGGUCACCUCUUGACUAAGGCCCUUCUCCCCCGAUUGCUCAGUUUGGCCAGGGGGCCAGCUCUAGGAAGAGUCUUGGUUGUUCCAAUCAUUUCUUCCAUUUAAGAAUGAUGGAGGCCACUGCGUUCUCGGGGUCCUUCAAUGCUGCAUAAAUGUUUUGGUAAGGCAAAGUGACAUGGACAAAAACACAAAACAGUGCCUAUAGAAAGUCGACACCCCCUUGAACUUUUUUCACAUUUUGAAGUAUCAGUGCCUCAGAGUUUCAUGCAUUUAAAUAACGGUUUUCUCCCACUUAUCUACAUACCAUUCUCCACACUUUAAAAAUACAAAACAGUUUGGAGGGAGAGCCUGAUCUCGGCAUGGUCUUGGUGGUGCCAUAGACCUUCCAUUUCUUAAUAAUCAUCUUGACCGUGCACCAAGGGAUAUUUUGAAAUCUCAUUUGGUGCUCAUGGUUGAGGGGAGUGUAGAAUGUUCAUAGGGGGAGCAGCAGGGGGGGAACCACUGCCCACUGCCGCUAUCAUCCAGAUGGCGAGGUCAGUAGAGUUGCAUCAAAGCUGGGACUGAGAGACUGAAAAACAGCUUCUAUCUCAAGGCCAUCAGACUGCUAAACAGCCAUCACUAGCACAUCAGAGGCGGCUGCCUAUAGCCAUAGAUUAGGAAUCACUGGCCACUUUUAGAAAUGGAUCACUAGCCACUUUAAUUUUGUUUCCAUAUCUAGCAUUACUCAUCUCAUAUGUGUAAACUGCACACCACACAAUUCUACGGUAUCUUAGUCACUUUUAAAUUGUGUUUACAUAUUGCAUCACCCAUCUCAUAUAUACAUACUGUAUUGUAUUCUAUACUACACCACUGACUGUUAAACAGCCAUCUCCAGCUCAUCAGAGGCUGCUGCCUGUGGACAUAGAUUAGGAAUCACUGGUCACUUUAAGGAAAUGAAACACUAGCCACUUUAAUAUUGUCUCCAAAUCUUGCAUUACUCAUCUCAUAUGUGUAAACUGUACUCUAUACUAUCUUAGUCACUUUAAUUGUGUGUAAAUAUUGCAUCACCCAUCUCAUAUGUAUAUACUGUAUUCUGUACUAUGCCACUGUAUCUUAGUCCAAUGCCGCUCUGACAUAUAUGUAUAUAUUCUUAAUCCAUUCCUUACUUAGAUUUACGUGUAUUUUGGGUAUAUGUUGUGAAACUGUUAGAUAUUACUUGUUAGAUAUUACUGUACUGUCGGAGCUAGAAGCACAAGCAUUUUGCUACAACCGCAAUAACAUCUGAUAAACACGUGUAUGUGACCAAUACAUUUUAUUUUAUUUGAAAAGACAACACGAUAUACAGAAAAUAAGGCACUUAUAGUUAUGCACACAUGUCCAAAGUUAUUAUUUGUAAGAAAAACAACAAUGAAGGCAAUGCAGGCACCAACCAGAAAAUGUGCCAGGGGGAAAAGGUUUGUGCAAGGCCUAUUUUGACUAUAGAUGCACAAAUGUAUGCGUACUUGAUUUGAGGAAACACUGGAGAAGUGCUUGGGCUCUCCUCAAAGAUAGAAGUUUGUCCAGUUCAGUAAAGUCUCAAACAUAAAUUGUCCACAACAUUGAAAUGGGCUACUUCUUACGUGAAUUAAUGAGGAGGCAGAACACACCAGAGAUAAAAUGGAGCAUAAUUUUGUUUGAUUAAAUCAAUUUUUAUAUUCAAAUGUAGGAACUGGGCACAGAAAUGCCCUUAUCCAGAUGGUGUGACAAAGGCAUUUCCUAACAGACCUGCUAACUUUUUGUUGUUGUUACUUUCUACGGUUGGAACCAACAUGCAGUACUUCCAGCAGGAGAGAGGCAAGAACCAUUUGUCCACCAGCCCAGGAAAAAGUUCCCAGUCCUAUGUUAUGUGCAAUGUAAUUGCAUUGCUGGACAUUUCUAACUAAAUAUAUGUGUACUGUUUAAAAAAUUACAAAUGAAAGGAAAUGUAUGGCUUUAAUAUGUCUUUGACUUUAUAGUAAGAACAGCGUCAUAUGACACAAGGCAUUUAUGUAUGUGUUAUAAAUGACCAAAGGGGUCUGACUUUAUUAAAGAAUGUACAGCGUCAUGCGCUAUAGUCUUUCUGGAUGUGUUCUGAAUGACCAAAGGUGUCUCACUCACUAUAUUAUAAAGUGUCAAUAAAUAGGUUACUGUAGGGUGUGAGAGGUAUUUCAAUGGGUUGAUGGUGUAAUGGGAAAUGUUUAUUGUAUGUGUCCACAUAACUGUGAUUGUGACUAACCUUGUCAAACUGUGUGAAACUGUCCUGUUCUCGGAAGUAUCACCCCGUGUUGCAAACCAGCUUGCACCUGCGUCCUUGUAUAGAUCCGCCCAAGAACAGGAGACUAUAAAGAUAUGUGCCUAUCACCCAAUGCUUCGGAACUUAGACUGUCUACACUGCGCUGUUUAAGUCUGUUUCUCUCUGAGCUCAG